AUUUCCUCUCUUCAAAGACGGACCAAGUGAAAGGAUAAAUGAAUCCCUUCCUAUGCAAAAGCUGCCACAGGUUGCCAGCUUCCUUUAUCAUCCUCCCAGUGCUGAGGCUGCUAAAAAAAUUCAGCUAGUUAAAGAGCAAGGAGAAAAGGGGAAACCGCGAGUAUAAAAAUACUUUACAAAAAGAAGCUUCACUGUCAGAGCCUUUGAUAACUGAGGAUCAACACUGGUUAAUCCAACCUGACUUGAAAUUGCCAACAACAAAAUACAUCGAGGAAGCUACUAUUUAGAGCGGUCCCAUGAGAUAUUUUGUCUUCUUUUGUUAAUCCUUUCUUUCCACAUUUGUUAAUUCAAUAUCCAGUGCUUGCAUUAAAAAAAAUGAAGCCAAAAGAACAUUGCUGUUGUGUAAUAUUUUCAGAGCUACAUAUUUUUUUUUUGCAGAGAAAAGACAGAGGACCGUUUUCAGUGUCAGUGCCAUGUGAAUGUCUGUUCCAAUAAUUUCCAGGU